GAGGGUAGAGCUCAGCGGUAGAGCGCGUGCUUAGCAUGCAUGAAGUCCUGAGUUCAAUCCCCAGUACCUCUG
rnacentral:tRNA from 1 species